CAUGACACCCUCAAAUCAAAUCUGAUGAAGAAGUUUGAGCGUCUGUAUGAGGGAACAGCGACGCAGGGAAACCCAACACUCCUGAAUGAGAUCUACACAGAGCUCUACAUCACAGA